UGUGCUACAGGUGGAAGGAAAAGCAAUUUCAAAAACUAAACCAGAUGAAGUUCAGAAAGAGCUGCAAGAGGAACACGACUUGCAACAAUCUUUGUCUCCUCAGGCUUCAAAUGUCAAAGGACAUGGACAAUAAGGAGGAAGAACCAACCAAUGUGUUCCAAAUAUGUUUAUUUGUAAGAGCAAGCUGAAAGGAAAAGCACAACUUCCUGUACCCAGAAUGGUCAAAUAAUCUAAUGACAUCCAUCUUAAAGAGUCAGAACCACCCGUGGUGGGUUGACCCUGGCUGGAUGCCACGUGCCCACCAAAGCUGCUCUGCCACUCCCCUCCUCAGCUGGACAAAGGAGAGAAAAUAUAAUGAAUGGCCUGAGGGUUGAGAUAAAGGGUACAGUCCUUCAGGAACAGACUGUUCCAGCCUGGGGCCCCCACACAGAGUCAUGAGUCCUGCCAUCAAACCUGUUCCAGCCUGGGCUCCUCUCUCCAUGGGGCCACAGGUCUGGCCAGGAGCCUGCUCCAGUGCGGGCUUCCCACAGGGUCACAGCCUCCUUUGGGUGUAUCCACCUGCUCUGGUGUGGGGUCCUCCACAGGCUGCAGCUUCCACCUGAAGAAAGCAAAUUCCAGAAAGUGUUCAAGAACUACUCCCAGAUCUAUCAUCUUUCUCUCUGUUUAAGAACUACAACUUCUGGGCUAGUGCUACAUUUUAUGAAUUCCUUUUUAACGUCCAAAUGUACUUCAGAAGGCAUUUCGUUUGCUAAAUCAAAUGUCUGGUUCUCAGUUAUGUUGAGGCUCCUCACUUCACACAGUAUUCUGAAUUUUUUAUGAAGGAGUUCCAAUUUCACAGUAAUUCUAGAAUAAUUGGACAGAUGGGAUUCACUUUCUUCCCCCUCAUACAUCAAAACAUCCAACUGAAUGCCAAAAAAUAGCUGAACAUUGUCUUAAAAAGCCACAGCUGCAACUGUUAGGAGGGAAGCCUUACUAUGACCAAAUUGAGAGUUGUGGUCUUCUUACUACGUGGACUACUGUGACCUGACAUAAAUUACCAAAGCUAAAGGUAAAAACUUUAGAGAAUCAGUUAGCAAUAAUCAGUUUCCUCAGUUUGUACCCUGUAAUUCUUGGUCAUAUUAAAAAACAUGUUCCAUCAGAAGCCUAGGAAAAUUGGCUUCUGUGGUGUUGGUCUUGAUCAUCAUAAAUCUUUAGCUCAAAUACCUUAUAGGCUUUACUUAUUUAUCUGUUACUAUGUUUUCUGUAUGACCAAAAUAAUGGUAUUGCACAUAUUCAAAUAUGAAAACAUUAAUAUUUCAGAGCAAUGUUAUUGAAGAUAUAUUUGAAGAAUUUUUCAGUGAUCAUGAAGAGUUAGAAGCUGAGCAAGAUGAUCAUGAUUUCUAUGGUUAUGGACUGGUGUGUAUUACGGUACAAUUUUUUUAAAAAAUGUAACACUAAAAUUUAAGAUUAGCAAAAGAAUUCAUGGUCUGAAGACUUAGUCAUAAGACAAAAUAUUUCUAUGUAGUUGACUUCUAGAAACAAUUUUAUGUUAGUUAUUUGUUGUUCUUUUUAUUGGAAAAUGCUAAAUCUCACUGUUCUGAAACCAGAGACUGCUUGGAAAGAGACAUUGCAUAUUUUAAAGAUGCUUCUUAUUUUGCAUUAUUAUAGCACUAUAAAUAUAAAUCAAAUAGGCUUUGAUUAAUAUGGCAUAUCUUAAUGGAGUGGCUUACUGGAUGUUUCACUAUGCCUAGACAUCUAAAAAAACUGCGAGUUGAAGCAGAACAGAGGAAAGGAGAUGUUUCUAGUGUGUGAGUAUUUUAAUCCAGAAUUUCUCUGAAUGUAAUUUUAAAGGAUAGGCAAAAAAUUCUAUGCAGGUGAUUUGCAAGUGAAAUGUUGAAGUGUGGUUCUAAGCUUCAGAUACAGAGUCUGUCUUUCCAGAUACAGAAUCUCGACUACCUAAAACACUGUUGAUCUAGUUCAUGGAGGCAAUGUAGGAAGCGAGAGCUGCAGGCUCCACAGAGAACCUGAAGUACCUAAUGAUGGUGGUGUUAUAUGUGUUUACAUAAGGUUAGCUAUUUCAAGUGAAUAGAUCUGAGAGGUGGAAGUGGGUAAAAGCUUACCCAAAUCCCAUGGGAAGUAAGCUGGAGAUCUUACCGGAGAAUCUGAGGUUCAACUGAAUGUUCUCAUAGCUAAAACACGGCUGAAACCUUGGAACCAACUGGGUGAUGUUGUUGAGACCUCAGCUGGAACCAAGGAAAAUUAAUGCAUGAGUGGAUGUAUUUGCAGCCAGAAAAGGGCAAACUGAGGCUAGCAUAUUAUUACUGCAGCUGAGCUCACAGGUAUAAUUUAGUGCUUGGAGGCACUGUUUUAUAUUAAAAUUUAGGGCUCUGUCUGCAAAUUUGGACUAUUAAUGCAGUUAAGAUCUGCUUGAUAAUGUGUUUCCUAUUUGAAGGUGAAACAUGCUGGGAAAGACACGCUUGCUUUUGUCCUUGAAAGAAGCUUUUUUUAUAGUGACUGGCUAUCGGAGAAUAUGUCAUUCAAGAGUGUGUGACUUGUAGAUGACAUGGAUGUGGAACAAAAAGGUAAAUCUGGUUAUGAUAAAGGAACUUGCUGGUUUGAAUGUUUCUUGCAGGAGCUGGCUAGAAAUAAUGAGGACAAUCUUUAGUAUGCAAAAAGGAGGGAUUCUGUGAUCAGCUUUGCACAUCUACAUCCUCUGGUAUCAGCAGCUUAAAAUAGUGUUUGGCUAAAAACUAUUUGGAAUUUUGUAUCAUGUUUGACUUCAGGCACAGAGAGGUUGUGGCUGUAUAUAUAACUACAAACUGAUUUGGAAUUGUCCAGCAGAGAGGAAAAGUGCUGAUAGUCCUUUGCCUAUAGGUUGACUGGGCCCUUAGAUAUAAUAAUUGGAAGUAAUAAAGUCUGCAGUUACUAAAUAUUGUAUUUUAUUCCAUGUUUAAUUGUGGACCUCCUGGGGAUGUCUUUUACUGAAAAAGCAAAUUGUUAUUAUGGUACAAGUAGGUCUGUUAACAAAAACAAUUAAAACCAGAUGAAGCACAUAUGGGUUCUCAGGAAUAAGUAAUAUUCUCAUUGGAAAUUUUGGUUGUGGUGAUGUUAUGUGACCAUUUUUUUUGUCUGGGAUUCCCAAGAUACAAAUGUUUGUGUGACUAAUGCCAUUGAAUGCGCAGCGACUAUGACAAUUUUAGGAAACGCCUGGGUUAAAACAUGUUCAUUAGAAAGACUCUGAUACAUGCAGUAAAUUCACUAGGUGAUCAACAGUAUGGCAUAUUCAGUGUGUUCUGAGAUUGGAGCAUGUACAGUACAUACGCAGGUGUCACUGUGCUUGCUCUUUAGCAUUAAUCUAUAUGAGUAUGUUGAAUGUGUCUUGGGUUUUUAGACAUCUGGCAAUGGAAUGGGCAUAAGACAUCCAGAUAUCCAGACAAAAUGCAGUCCUUCACUCUGCAAAAGUGAGGUGUUUGGUUUUUUUUUGGUGAAAAUGCAGAUUUCUUUGGGCAUUAGCUCUAGGUUUGGCAGUCUCUGCUUUUAAAAGCAGAAUGUAUCUGAAAGCUCUGCUCAUGUUAGGCUCAGAAUAAUUCGGACUUAUUUUGCUUUUUAUUUUAUCUAUAGACAAAAAGUUUACUGAAAAGACGCCAAUCCUUGCCUGAUUUUUGUGUCAGUGGGAGCUCACAGGUAUUUUAUAUUUACUAGUAUUUGUUCCUGAACUCUCAUUUUGUGGAAGAAAUUCUUCCACUGAACUGAAUUGAAGUUAAUAUUUUCCUAUCAGAUGCAAAAGUGAGGGUCUCAAAGGUCUUUUUCAAAUGCACUGGUUACAUUAAAUAGGAGAACAUAGCUUUGCAAUGAGAACCCCUGUUAACUUUACAGGUAUUUGGAUGGAGAUAAGUGUGUAGAGAUAGGUCUGUGGUCUAGAUAACCUGAAAUGAGUGGAACAAGGUAUCUGAGCAAAGAUUUGCAGUACCAGGUCCUUGGAUUUCAGACAUAUCAGGGCAUCAAUGUUGUCAAGUUUCCAGUCUGUGAAAUGCUAUGUACUUUUGUGGCUAUUUAAAUUGUUAGCCGUUUCACAAAAAAACCCCAUAAACCAGCAAUAAGCUGCAAAUUUCACAAUUGUGCAAAGAUUAUUUUGAUAGCAUUAUACAAGUAAUAUUUUAUUAACGAAUUUGAUUUUGAGUAAGAAUUUGAGGACUAUGCAUUUAUUUAAAACUUCUGUAUAGUCCAUAAAGACCUGCUAAAAAUGUUGUGACCAUGUUAUUUUAGACAGGCAUGAAGCAUGGCAGCAGUUCGUAUACAAUGAUAAAUAAAAUAAACAUUGAUGCUUGAUUUUUAAAAUACUAGCUUCAUGUUCAAAUAGAAGUAGUCUUGUUGAAUUCAGCUAACAAUCCUUUAGUAAAACUGUGAGUACUUCGUUAAAAGUUACCAAAUAACAAUUCGGUUUUUAUGCAAGUUGCAGUCAAACUAUUUGAUUUGGUGCUAAAUGACAGCUGAUAAUAGAUACAUGUUGUGAUAAAUGAUAGCUUUGCAUUGAGUUUCAUCUUUUUAAUAAAUCAGUAUGAAUCUUAGUUUUUUUUAAAAAUAUAGAAUUACCUAAAGAAAAACAUCAUACUUGUGACACUGAGAUUUUUUUUAAUCUUUUCAAAACUUCACAGGUUAUAAUGAAUUACCACAAAUGAAAAAAAGAAAGAUAUUUAUUUACUUCAAUGGAGUGCUUUAAAGUAUUAUUAAAACAAACUAAAGGCUGCUGCAGUGUCUUGCUAAAAAAGAUACUAAUUAAUUCUUAGCAGAUGUCUGUAACCAAGCAUUGAAAAAGUACUUCUUUGAGUCUAACUAGAAAUCAUUCAAUGCUUCAUUUAUUUUAUUUAUUACUAAUAAGUGUUUCCCCCUGUAAAUUUCAGGCAGUGAACAUGAAAUUGCAUUUUAAUUUCCUUGAUAAAGAUAUGCUAUGUCUAGCAUUAUAGUGCAAGUUAGUGAACUGGAAUUAACAAAAAGCCAGAGAAGCAAUACAUUAUUAUUGCAAAUAAUGCUUGCUUAAUAAUUAAUAACAAUUAAACACCAGAGGAUAAAGUUACUUUUCUGGAUUUGAUUUUGUCAGGUGAUCCAGGGAUGGGGCACAAAGUAUGAGUGUGCAUAAUUCUAUUCAGAUAUUAACUGUGUUUCCAUAUAAUACAAUUGUACUUCCAAACGUUUUACAGAGUCCUCAUGUCUUUUCUUCUGAGUUCAUGAAUAUACCUCAGUUCAUCUUUUUGUAAAUGUCACCACCAGUGGCAUACAUUUUUGAUUUUAAAAUUUAACUUGCCUACAAGGACUGGGGGUAUUUAAUUAAAAAUUCUUGUGAUACUUUUUCAAGAAGAUUGAUUUUAGCUCUUCAUGAGCUUCAAAUAACUUUGAAUUAAUGUUUCAGAACUCUUUGCUUUGACACAUAUCCUAAGGUAUGCAGAUCUUUUUUUCCCAUUAAACACUGUAAUUUUUUUCAACGGUGUAGUCCCCAUGUCACUUUUUUUUCUUCACAUUUUUAUAGAAAAUAAAAUCCAAUCCAUUAAAACUAAGGAAAUGCGAUAUAUAAAUCUUAUUUCAAAUGAACAUCUAAAUAAAUUAAGUUUCCUUCUUUUAUCAGACAAGUUUGAUUAAAAGAUCAGUCUCAGCUCUGGAGAUGACUGCUUUCAAAGAUGAAACUAUGUUAAAUAUGUCAGCUAAUUUCAAAACCAGCAUGAAGGUUAUGAAGCAACGGAUAGCUG